UCCCAGGUGGCUCAGUAGUAAAGAAUUUGCCUGUUAAGCAAGAAACACAGGUUCACUCCCUGGGUUGGGAA
rnacentral:tRNA from 1 species